UACGUAGGGGGCAAGCGCUGUCCGGAAUUAUUGGGCGUAAAGAGCGCGUAGGCGGUCCGAUAAGUCGGCUGUGAAAGUCAGGGGCUCAACCCUUGGAAGCCGGCCGAUACUGUCGGACUAGAGUCCGGAAGAGGCGAGUGGAAUUCCCGGUGUAGCGGUGAAAUGCGCAGAUAUCGGGAGGAACACCAAUGGCGAAGGCAGCUCGCUGGGACGGUACUGACGCUGAGGCGCGAAAGCGUGGGGAGCAAACAGG
rnacentral:rRNA from 1 species